UGUUGAUUUUUUUUUUUCAAAUUUUCGCACCUCGGUCCAUUUCCUUCAUAUCUCGAAAUCGAAGCUCUCAAUCCAUGAUUUUUUUUAAUGCAAAACAUGAAAAAUAAUAAAAUUGUAACAAUUCGACACUAAUUUAACAUGAUUUACAAAAAAAAAGGAUUGAAAAUCGAAAAUUCUCACCUGAUCAAACAUGUGGGAUAUAUCCCACUACUUGUUCGUUUUGUAACGCGCAGGUGGGAUAUAAGAUAUAUCGUGGGAUAUAUUGGCCGAUAUCGUCGAUGCUUAAAACACCGAUUGACACUUGUGGUUUCUUCUUUACAAGCAACCUCUCCUAAGAAAGCCAUCCAUCUCCUAGUGUUAUUCUACCUCACAAAUCGGCUGUCUUGAACACUUUUUGUGCAAAAUUAAUGUUUAAUGGAAGUGAUGAAAAAUUAUUUCGACAUGCCCAUACUUGAAUGUCUCUAGUAAUGAAGAACUUAAACAUGUGAAUUAAGCACUCUACUUUUGAAGAUAACCCCUGAGUGACACUGAGAAUGCUUUGCCUUACAUGAACUUGAUCUACACUCAAUGGAGUCACAGAGGCAUGGUUGGGAAUAAUUGCAUGGCUAGGUGUUAUCUGGCUAUAACUAAAGAAUCAGUUGUACAGUGUGUUUCAACAUUGACAUCAUGGGUUCAAGCCCACAUAUUACCUAUCAAAAAAUAAAAAUAAAAAUAAAGAGUCAGGUGACCUUUUAAACCUGUCCCAUGAACCCUAGGAACAUGUGGAAAUAAUAUCUUUCUAAAUGAUGCUGGUGUGCGUUAUUAACUUCCAAAAUGUCCCAAACUUAAAUUAUAAUUAUGCGCCCUUUCUCCCCUGAUCUUCUUGUAUUGUUUGUUUCUGUAAUAAAAUCUAAUCAUUCUUUUCAGUUCCAAAAAAAAAAAAAAAAAUCAUUCUUCAAAAAGGAAGAAAAAGAACUACGUGCAUGAGCAAAACUUUGAAACUCCAUAGGCCAGAGGUGUUGUGGAAUUUAAGGGACGGGCACUCUUGCCAUGCUUAGCAAAGGUUUCUGCUUUAGUUAAUACCUGCCUGCAUGGAAAAAUUAUGAGCUCAUACAGGGCUUGCACCUGGAUAUCAGGGUCAUCUAAGCUGUUGAGAUUUGACUUUGUAUUCGGGAGAUAAAAAGUCUUAUUGUCGUUUUGGGUGCAAGAUAUUCGCUGAUUUAGAAAUUUGCUAAUCAUUCAGAAAUGUUUUGGCCUUGACAGGUUGUUUGCUUCUUUUUGUUUUGGUUUGAUAAAGUUGUUCAACUGUGUGUGGGAGUGAUGACUGAGAGGGUCACUCGCUAUCCAAUCAAUUCAAGCUCAUUCUGUAAUUUCUUUGGUUUUUAUUAAAAUUUUGUGUCGCUGUUCUUAAAGAAAGAAAAAAAUAACAAAACAAGAAGAAAGAAAUAGAAAAAGAAUGUAGGAGUACACAGUCAUUGAUGUAAGUGUGGUGCACUGAUCAUAUUAUGUUGUUCUAAGGAGGUUUUUGUGCAUCUUUGAGAUCACACUGUAAUUAACUGGUGUUUAUCUUUUGUAAUUGAUGAUCACCAUAAAUAUUCUUAGUGGUGGAUUAUCGUGUC